CCCAGGACUAUUACAGGCGUGGUUCAUUUGCUUGCAUUUGUUCCUCAUACACUUUGCUUCCCUUUUUUAGUCAAAUUGGGGUCAUUUGGUUAUAAAGCCCGUUUCAUAAUUCAAGAAAAAAAACAAAGUGUGGCUGAAUAGGAGCUUAUAAAGCUGAAAUAUGGCUAUUUAGCGGCAUAAUUAGCAGUACUUACUGUUGAGCUGGAGGAUGGAGUCGUAGACUUUACACUGGAUCUGGCCGGUGCUCUGGAAGGCACAGGACAUCCACAGGCCUUCAUACAUGGCCACCGCCGUGAUAAUGUUGUCCCCGACGUAGGCCGACAUCUUCCACUGCGGCAGAAUGGUGCCCACUAUCAAGCCAAUUAGGCCCAGAAGUGACAGGACGAAGCCCAACAUCUGUAAACCCGAGUUGGCCAUUUUCUCUUGUUCGUCGACGAUGACCUGAUUUCAAAAAGGAACGUCCACCUGCUCAAAAUAUCCCCAACGCCUCUAAAUCAAACGUCUUUAAUUUGACUUCCUCUCUUGAGUUAAAAAGAAAGUUUUAAAAAGAAUUCCAACUGUUGUCCGUAAGGAGAAAAUAAUACUUUCUUUAAUGGCGGUACUUGUGUCUGUAAUGGCUGCCGAUGUCCCCUCGCGCACCUGUUGCUCUGCCGCACCUUGAAUCGGGAGGGGACAGCGAGAGCGAGCAUUUUAGGCGGUUUCCGUCGCAGGUGGGCGGGGACGCGCACGCAGUUUCGACGCAUACGUCGCCGAAAGGCGCGCCUUCAGUUUCAUGACGUCGGCACUUCCGGAAAACUGCCUGUUGAUGUGUCACGCGCGACCCGAUAAAAACCGAUAGUAGAUUGUUAGUUUGGUGGGGAGGACAAAUGUCAUAAAUACCUUUCAGUUGAGGAGUAACAUAGUCUUUGUUUUUGCAUUAAUUCACAAAUCGACCUAUAAUUAUCGCUCGUUCAACCGUGUCGUUUACUACACUCUCGAGUAGUAAUUGUAAUCAUUUUUGAAGGUGAAUUUGUAACAGUAGUGGAGGGUUUUAGCUGUCAGUUAUUUGUCAAGCAACCCACACCUGUGUUAUCUAAUCACUCAGUACACAUAUGUAUGAUGUAUGCUGUAAUUGGACAAUAUAGUGCUAUUGUAACGAGCACUCAAGUGUUGACAUACGUAUACCCUACAUUGAUACUGGAGACUUUGCCCACUGGCGCUGUGAGUCACACUCGCACAGGCGUGUCGUGUCUUUUUCUGCUUCUUGACCAAGACAACUACUCACCCGAAGAGAAACUGCUACUAAAACUGUUUACUACUCGACAAGGAGUGUCUGUGCUUGGCGGUCUGUCUAGGUCCUCCUGCUUCCGGUUUCCAGGACUCGUGCACGCAAUGCAAUGCAGGUCUUCGCAAGACAAGAAGAUUGGCGUGAGACAGAGACGCCGGGAGCCCAGAAGAGUAGGAAAGAGGAAGUUUUUGGAAGACGUGCGUGACCGUAACUCUGAGCCCACAGAGGAAGGCGUCAUCCUUUAGCUGACAAGGCAAUUCAGGACUUUGUGACCUUUCUCUGUCCACUUUGCUGCCCUGGGAGUUUAUUCCCAUUCAACGCCCACUCCCUGGCCAGAGCAACACAAGCCUUGGCUCCUCACCCACGACUAGACCACCAAAGCUUGGAGCUAUUUUAAGAUCCUCUGACAGGUUUGAUAUCCUUUGCUCUGCUAACACAAAGAGGAGAGGAUCGAUAGAUGAUCCGCUUCAUUCAUUAUUAAACAGACCAGAGAGCAAAAGGGGCAAAAAGAAAAGAAAGCGAGGAGAAAAAGUAGAAAAAAGUGAGCGGAAGAUCACUUGGAGAGGACGUAAGUCACGGAUCCAGAGGACAAACGGAGAUGCUCUUCGACAUCCCGCAAGACCAAAUCCAAGAAUUGUGGCCAAACAUUCCCCGUGCCCCUUGAUCUGACAGACCAUCACGCCGACUAAGUACCCUUGGGCUCAACCUUUGAAGUGACACCAGUGAUAACCCCUCUCUCAAGUAAUCCUGUAAUUACCCUUCAUAAUCACUCCCUUGAAAUCAAGCAAACUAUAGAAACCGCAUCGGCUGCCUUUCAUUCAUGUAAUCUCCAAAGGGAUGGAUGGCGUCAUUAGAUGAGGGGAAAAAAUAUCCAGACACGACCAUGCAAUCAUUGUUCAAUAAAAUGAUUUUUCAUGGCCGUUUAGCACAGAGGUCCAAAUCCUUGUCACUGUAAUUACAUCUAUUUUUGAAACUCACCUUGAAGUAACCUCCGGAUCCGAGCGGAAUCCAAUAUGUACUAACACCCAGAUUAGUUUGUUUGGUUGGGUUGUCAAAAGUAUGUACGGCUGUCCCUCCUUUAUCGCGGUUAAUCAGUUCCACACCCCAUGAGUGAUAAGUGAAUUUCCUCAAUGCAGGAUUCCUGACUUGUAAACCAAAUAUAUUUGCAUAAA